GUACUACGAUUCUUUGGAUCUUGACCAUGAAAUUGCUUUUCCCCACAGUGCUUACGAACUGCCAAAUUAUCGUUGUCAGGUCUACUUGGAAUUGGUACCACACACAUUGGAUAUUGCGCUUUCUCGCUGACAUUUUUUCAAAAGAGUCCACAUCAGGAUGGAACACUCACAUGUAAAUAAAUAAACAUGUUUCAUCUUGCCAAUGACAUUCCUAUUGAAGGACGUCAGGGCCUUUGACGUUCUUCUGAAUUUGACAUGACGAACGACUAAUUAAGUUAAGCAAAAAAUAAACAAUUAAACAUCAUGUAGAAGGAUUGUUUACAAUUAUCUCUGAUGCAAUCAAUCAUGUGACAAUAUUUUGUUUCAAUCUUUUCACAAAAAAUAUUCUAACUCUACGCCAUAUAAUUUUCUUAUUUCCGAUGGAUUUCCGCCAAUUUAAGUCUUAAGCGAUGAUGGAUACAACGUCUAUUGGUGAGAUUUUUUCGGACGAUGCCAUUCGAAUAGUGAUGUAAUAAUGCAAACAUAUUUCCGUAUCGGUAGGUUUUUCUCCUCCUGUUCCUCCCGUUUCCCCCAGCAUAUCUCUUUUUACGUAUUUGGCAAUGUCUCGCUUCAGGCCCGUCCAGUUGUUGCGCGUGUCGUCGGGAAGUGGGACGCCAAAAUCUUCAUGCAGGACCAGGAGGCGGGUAGCGACUUGCUGCGGUGUAUUCAACGGCGGUUUCCCCAUUUGAGAGAGUUGUACGUCUGCAACAUAUCCAAGCAGAACGGCUCGUUUCACGGGGAAUAUCGGUUGGACGAAUUACGACGAAUCCUUUUGUACAGAAUGCAAACACGUACUUUUACCGGAUACAACAAUAAGACUCGAGCGAUCCACCCCCGCCUUAAUAUGGUCCAUGUAGUCCUUCAACCUUUCGAUCAUGGUGUUCAUACCUUGCAGCACCAUAUAUGCUCCCUCUAAAUCAGCACCGAUGGAGGGACGAGGGAGUUUUCUUGCUUGAGAAGAAAACUCCUGCCUCAUGGACCCACAACGGUUCUAGAUGCUCUCUUGGAAUUUUGGCGAUUUUACUGCCGUUUUCGCACAUGUCUGUGUUGAAGGGACGGCGGAAUAAAAGAAGGGCGGAGAAAAGCGGAAUAAGAGUGGGAGACUAGAGAGAGCCGGUGAUGAAGAGGAAAAAAAACGGAAUAUAUUUAUAUAUCCUUGAAUCAAAGUGAAAACAAUGGGAAUUUGGCUUUUCACUUUUAAAUGAUAAAGAAAAUGAAUAAUGACUUCACCUCAUUUCUAUUAAGUAUUUUGCAUCUCUCUUUUCUCUCGAUCUCUGAGACUCCCUCUUUCUUCCAUUUUCCCCAAUCUCUCGUUUUCAAAACUCUUCACUUCUCUCUAAAAUCGUCAAAACUGUAAGGUAGCGAGCUGACACCUCAAUAAUAAUGCCAAUCACCUCAACAUGAACUUAGUCAGAUAUUUAUUCUUGCCACAACCAAUUAUAAUACGAUCUUAAUCACUUCGUAUCAUAAUUUGUAAUCUUAAUGGAUCUUUUAUACAGCGCUCUCUGAGUUCGGGGAAUGUUCACCAUUAGAGCUUGAUGGGUUGAAACACCAUAUAACCAUAAAUUUGUAUUAAACCAUAACAUAAAAUAAGUGAUGCAAUGUACAUACUCAAAAUACACAAUACUGCUUGGACCAUAAAAAAGCAUAUUGUCUGUACAGCUUGGCCCAAAAGUAAUGACGAUACCAGCCAAAACUCUAUAUGUCAUGUUAACUACUGGUAGUGGUUUUAAAAUGUCUUUUCAUAGGACUUUGUAUACUGCCAAUUAAUAGAAGGAAACAUGAACUGUUGCAUACACGCACCAAACUUUGACAAGCACAUUAACUUCUCACCAAGUGUUGAUUUUGAAUCGUUCCAUCUGUGCUUCUGGGGCGAUCUAAUACCGCUGGUAAAGAUGGUUGUUCUCGGCCUUAAUAUGGUCCAUGUAGUCCUUCAACCUUUCGAUCAUGGUGUUCAUACCCUGCAGCACCAUAGAUGCUCCCUCUAAAUCAGCACCGAUGGAGGCACGAGGGAGUUUUCUUGCUAGAGAGGAAAACUCCUGCCUCAUGGACCCACAACGGUUCAAGAUGCUCUCUUGGAAUUUUGGCGAUUUUACUGCCGUAUUCGCACAUUUCGUGGUUGAAGGGACGGCGGAAUAAGGGCAGAGAAAAGCGUACACGCACCUAACUUUGACAAGCACAUUAACUUCUCACCAAGUGUUGAUUUUGAAUCGAUCCAUCUGUGCUUCUGGGGCGAUCUAAUCCCGCUGGUAAAGAUGGUGAUUCUCGGCAGUUUUGCCACUGCGGCCAAUUUGCUCUUAAUGGAUUACAAUGUUUUUUAAUUGUGCUUGCCUAACAUAGCAAUAUGGAGCCUUGAUGUAGCCCAUUGCCAAUGAUUUGGCAGAAGUCUGUAAAUUAAGGGCUCUGAUUCUGUGAACUGCCAUCUAAACCGGUGAUGAGUGAUCGCCCAUUUGACAAUUACGUAGAUCUUCAUUUUAAUAUAGUUCAUAUCCCUCAUAAUGCGGUACAUUCUAUUGUUGAAAAAAAAUACUGUUAUUAAUCGAGAUAUGUUUUUUAUGUUGAAGAUUAUUUGAUUCUCUGUAUUUUAAAAUUAAAUUUUCUGUUAUCUUCUAUUGUCAUGCUGUAAUUCACAUUGAAUGAAUUCCAUUUGUAUUUCAUAGAAAAAAGAGUCAAAUAUAUUUCUAAAUAACAUUUAAAAUGACAAUCAUUUGUAUUUCAUAGAAAAAGGGGUCAAAUAUAUUUUAAAAUCAUCAUUUAAAAAACGACAAUCAUCUUUAAUCCAGAGCUCUUAAUUCCUUAGGCCCCCAUUCCACAGAGCGGAGACCAUUGAAAGACCACUGAAAGACUUAAAAUUGGUGAGGUCUUACAGCGGUCUUCAAGAUCACUGAAAUUUGUCAUCUCUGUGGAAUGGCUCAGAAAGACCCCUCCAAGAACUCUAAAAGACUGAUGGAUAUUUCUUGUCUUACUGGUCUUAGACUAGUCCUAUAGAGAUCUUUCAAUGGUCUUUCAGAGAUCUUUUAUGCAACAAGUGAUCUUUCAGAAUUCUUUCCAUGGACUUUGCCUGGUCUUUCAAUGAUCUCUCAUGAGUCUUACAGUGAUCUCCGCAAAAAUCUUGAGAGACUGCCGAAAGAUCAUUGAAAGUUCAUCGAAAGACUGCUGAAAGACCGCUGGAAGACCACUGAAAGACCAUUUUCUUGUAAGACCGUUGUAAGACUGUUUAGAACCGUUUCAAAAAGUUUUGGAGCCCUUGAAGACCACGAAGACCGCUGAAAGAUUGGUCAGGACUUGUGUAAGACCUCAAAGACCAUUGUAGGUUCAUUGAGAGACCUCUGUAAGAUCGACCAAAAUUCAUGGUCUUUGAAAGGUCUUUCAGUGGUCUUGCUCUCUGUGGAAUGGCCCCUUAAGGCUACCAUGGUGCAGGGCCCUGUUAGAUAAAAGUUAACUUUGCCAUCCAAUGGUAACUACCGUGGUAACGGUGCUAAUCAGCCAAUCAAAAUCAAGGAUUUCAGGGAAGGUACCAUUGGAUGGCAAAGUUACCAUAAUAGUAAAUUUUAUGAAACUGGCCCCAGGAUAUCAGCUGUGAAAGAAGGAUGUCAAGUAGAAUCAUAUCCUGUGUGCAUCAAUGCCAAUUAAUAUUUUUCAUUUUCAAAAUACAUAAAUGUCUGUUCAUGCUGAAAUUCUACAUGAAUGUCUAUUCAUGCUGAAAUUCUACAUAAAUGUCUAUUCAUGCUGAAAUUCUUCCUCUUGGAUUAUUCAAGUUCUUUAUUUGCUUAAAGCAGGAAGAAAUAUUUGACUUUGGCCUUGGGUGUUAAUUAUAGGAAUGUAGUUCUCAUGACUAGAACAGGGCCCAUAUUCUUAAAACCUAACAGUCGAGUUAUCAUCGAAUUGUGUAUUUUUAAGUGUUUUAUGAGUAUGAGCCCUGGCAAUUCCAUUUUAAAAGGAUCAUUAUCUGCUAUAUACUUUUGUAAAAUGUAUUGAAAACAUGUAAGAAAUCUUAUCAUUCCAGUAUUAAAAACAGGACUUUAAGGCUGUACUUGAAAAUGAAUAUUUUAAAAGAAGGAUGCAUUAAACUGGAAAGUACUGUAAUAUGAAAUAUGUAUUACUUUUAAUAUGUACACUGUAUAUCAGGAAACCAAUCUAAUAAUACGUACAGUUCAUAAAUCGGAACUUCAAUCUGUGUUUUAGAAUUAAAUUUAAAGCAAAGAUUUUAUUUCUUGCCCUCAUAUAGUUAAUCUGCAAUUGAGAAAGUUGAGCGAAGCUUAAUGUGAGUGCAAGUGUGUAACAUGUGAGAGUUUAAGAUAUAUACAUUCUAAUCACUGGCAAUGCAGAUGAGUCCAAAAUAGUUUUUUUUUGUCUAAUAAAUGUGAUGAUAGCACAGAUGAACUGUAGGAUUUGAGUGUAACAACCAAGUGAAUUGCUCACCCCCUUCCCCUCCCCCAAUAUCAGUGUUCAAUGAAUUUACAGUACCGGAUACUUGUGUUUGUACUUUUCUUUUCAUUGAAACUAAAUAUAAGCUCCACCUGGUUGAAUGUGUGACAAAAUGCAUUGCUUCUGCUGUGAUAUACCAAAUUAAAUAUCUACUCACCUUUCAGUUUCCAACAAAGGUUGUUAGAAGAGAGCUAAAGUCUAGAGAUUAUUGUAUUCAUUUAUUUAUGUACAUUUGCAACUACACACUGUGCAGAUACGAUCACCUUAUUUGAGAUUUGUAAUCAGCUAUGCUCACUUUACAUGUCUUAUGAAGUGAUACUAUGGUUUAGUCUUGCUUGUUUGAUAACCCAUUUUGUUUAAAUAUCAACAGUAAGUGAAAUUGUACUUCGUCUAACUUGAUAUUUUCCAAUACCAUUUCUUUUGUUUUGAAAUUUUAUAAUGGUGUUAAGUGAAAUGAUUUUUUUUUCUGAGUUAACUAUAAUAUCAUGAAAAAGUGAAAUGCAUUUUGGCAAAAAGUAAACCAUAUCUCUGUGAUUUAGUGUAAUGAAUUUUAUGAAAAGUGAAAUAUAUAUGUUUUAAGGUGAAAUAAAAAUUUGUUAGAGUGAAAUGAUUUAGCAAAAGAGUUCAACAUUUGUAAAAGUGAGAUAUAUUUUGUAUUGAAUCCCUAAUAGCAUGUCAUAUUGUACCUUGAAAGUUUGAUCUGUUUAUGUGUGCUGCAUUUUACAUGUACCUUAUAUGUAUUCCAUUUUAAAAAAUGUAUCUGUAAAUAGAUUUUUCUAUAUUUAGCCACUGAAAUAAAUUUCACUUAAGAUUA